CCACAGACUGAAGGCUGCAUUGUGAGGUUCUCUACUUUUGAGGUUUUCGGACUCGGACUGGCUUCCUUGCUCCUCAGCUUGCAGACGGCCUAUUGUGGGACCUCACCUUGUGACCGUACACCCAGUUUACCAGAUGAAGGGGAGGAAUUGAGUGCAGAUGAACUUCCAGAUCUCUUUGUACUAUGUGAAUGCUGCAUCUACAUCCUAAUUCAUAUGGCUGGAAAGCUCAGUUGCAACAGGAAUAUUUUGGACAGGUUAUCAGAAUGAAGAUGGACAAUAUUCAUUAGUCACAGGUAUGUGGUAUUCAGUGAGGCAUGUGGCAAGGCUACUGCUGACUAUGUUGACCUUACGGAAACACAGGCUGUAUGAUAUUUGGAGAAUACCUCCAGGCAAAGGACACUCAUGAAUGAACUGGUGCCCAACUGGAGGCUAUCAGGUAGCUGGUGGAGGACUUGUACCUCAGGUCUGUUGUUUUGGACAAUUUUUCACAUCUUGAAUGAGGUGAGUGGUCAGAUUUAGGAUCUAAUAAGUCCUGAAGAAGGCAGGAGGAAACUCAAGUUUAAUAAUGAUCAAUAAAAGGUCCUUCUCCUGGGUCCCAAAUCACAGGAUGGUGGAAGUUGUGCUUGAAGGCAGUUCUUAAAGCACCACAUAAGAGGAAAGAAAUUUUAUUUCACAGGUCGGAGCACACUGAAA
rnacentral:lncRNA from 1 species